GGCUUAUUGAAAAUAAUUUUAGGUUUGGCCUGCCCAAUGAAAAAUUAAAUGGCUGCAGUAUUUUAACUGUACAAAGGUAGCAUAAUCAUUUGUUUUUUAAUUGAAAGCUUGAAUGAAAGGUUGGAUGAAAAAAUUUCUGUCUCUUUAAAAAUUAAAUAGAAUUUUAUUUUUAAGUGAAAAAGCUUAAAUUUUAAUAGAAGACGAGAAGACCCUAUAGAGUUUUAUAUUUACUUAAAAGAUUUUAUAAUAGGAAUUUAAAUUUUUUUGUUUAAGUAAAUCUUUUGUUGGGGUGACAAAAAAAUUUAAUCAACUUUUUGUAAAAUAGGCCAUUGAUUUAUGUAUAAGGGAUCCUAAUUUUUAGAUUAUAAGAUUAAAUUACCUUAGGGAUAACAGCGUAAUUUUUUCUAGAGUUCUUAUCGAAAGAAAAGGUUGCGACCUCGAUGUUGGAUUAAAAUUAAUUAUUGGUGAAGGUGCUAAUUAAUUAGGUCUGUUCGACCUUUAAAAUUUUACAUGAUCUGAGUUUAAACCGGUGUGAG
rnacentral:rRNA from 1 species